rfam:Triticum aestivum genome assembly, contig: Triticum_aestivum_CS42_TGACv1_scaffold_031036_1BL
UUUCUACUCCCUCUACCCGAAAAUACUUGUCAUCAAAAUGGAUAAAAAUAGAUGUAUCUAAAACUAAAAUACGUCUAGAUACAUUUCCUUUUAUCCAUUUUGAUGACAAGUAUUUCCGGACGGAGGGAGUAUUUG